rnacentral:lncRNA from 1 species
AAAUACAUAGCUCUCCCAAAUCCUCACCUACAAUGGAUCUCUCUCAAUACAUAGGUGAACUAAUGCAAAAAGGAAAGCUAUUAAACUACCACGGUCUCACUGGUCGGGCGCGGUGCCCUUGCCGCGGUCCUCUCUCGACAACCCUGUACCUACCACUGGAAAUAGAGUGGGGUAAGAACUAUCUUCCAUAGUUCCCAGUGGGCUCGGCCGCCGACUCUGCCGAUCUCCCCACUAGGUCCAAGUGGGCACAAGUAACAACAGAUAGAU